CAGUCGCCGCGGUAAUACGUAGGUGGCAAGCGUUGUCCGGAAUUAUUGGGCGUAAAGGGUGCGUAGGCGGUUUGAUAAGUCAUCUGUGAAAUCUAUGGGCUCAACCCAUAGUCUGCAGGCGAAACUGUCGGGCUUGAGUAUUGGAGAGGUGAGUGGAAUUUCCGGUGUAGCGGUGAAAUGCGUAGAUAUCGGAAGGAACACCUGUGGCGAAAGCGGCUCACUGGACAAUUACUGACGCUGAUGCACGAAAGCUAGGGGAGCAAACAGGAUUAGAUACCCCUGUAGUCCCUGUCUCUUAUAU
rnacentral:rRNA from 1 species